rnacentral:misc_RNA from 1 species
GAUGAAGAACUGAGCGAAAUGCGAUAAGUAGUGUGAAUUGCAGAAUUCAGUGAAUCAUCGAAUCUUUGAACGCACAUUGCGCCCCUUGGUACUCCAUGGGGCAUGCCUGUUCGAGCGUCAUUUACACCCUCAAGCUCAGCUUGGUGUUGGGCGUCUGUCCCGCUUCGUGCGCGGACUCGCCUCAAAUGCAUUGGCAGCGGUCUUGCCAGCUUCUCGCGCAGCACAUUGCGCUUCUAGAGGCUUUGGCGGAUCGGCGUCCAUCAAGUACACCCACAGUUUGACCUCGGAUCAGGUAGGGAUACCCGCUGAACUUAAGCAUAUCAAUAAGCGGAGGA